rnacentral:misc_RNA from 1 species
GAUGUGAAUKGUUAGCUGGCUUUUCGAGCAUGUGCUCGUCCGUCAUCUUUAAUCUCUCCCACCUGUGCCAUUUUGAGUCUUGAAUACCUCUCGAGGCAACUCGGAUUUUAGGAUCGCCAAGUUGGCUUUCCUUUCCUUUCCAAGACUAUGUUUUUAUAUACACCAAAGUAUGUUUAAAGAAUGUCAUUAAUAGGAACUUGUUUCCUAUAAAAUUAUACAACUUUCAGCAACGGAACUCUUGGCUCUCGCAUCGAUGAAGAACGCAGCGAAAUGCGAUAAGUAAUGUGAAUUGSAGAAUUCAGUGAAUCAUCGAAUCUUUGAACGCACCUUGCGCUCCUUGGUAUCCGAGGAGCAUGCCUGUUUGAGUGUCAUUAAAUUCUCAACCUUCCAGCUUUUAUAAGCUUGGUAGGCUUGGAUGGGGGAGUUGCGGGCUUCAUCCAUGAGGCCG